UUGAUACAAAAACUUUGGCUCACAUAUUCUUUCCUUAAUUUCUUUGAAAAUGUUGCUCUGGGGUUGUCUUUCUUUAAAUGUUGUUGAGAAGUAUGAGUGAUUAUUUUGAUUUUCAUUCUCCUUUGUGACUUAGUCUUUUUGUCUUGACACUCACAGGAAUUUUUUUCACAUUAUCGUAAUUCCACCAGGAUGUGUUAAAAUGGACUAUUCUGUGUCAAUUAUCACCAGCAGUAACUGUUAAUGUAAAAAAAAAAACCCAAAACUGCUAUAUACAAAAAGGAUCUGGAUGAGAGGACCCUCCUGUGCUGGAUUUAUGAAACAGUUGGAUGACAAGAAAUUGUAAGUCAAUCAGGCUUGGAGAAAAGAAUCAGAACAAACAAUGAACGGAAUAAGAAAGAAUCUAGCACAUUUUCUGUUAACUUCCAGGAGUUAAUGAAAAUGUUGAAUGUCAUAUAUCUUAUUAAAGGAGGCUGAAUUCAAUGAAGUAGAGUGACAAUGUUAAAGAAUCAGUAACAUCACACUAUGAAAAGUUUAUGACUGAGAAAAUUUUUCAAUUUAAUGUUUACUUUUAGGAAAAGAUAAAUGAGUCACAGAUACUUGACACCAAAUCUUUAAAAAAUUUUUAGAUCAUAAGGAUAAAAUGUUUGCUGUUACAAGUGAGUUUGAUCAUGACAUAAGAGAACUCAUUACAUUAAAAAAUGAAACUACAAGCACAGUCUUGGGUGAUCAGGAGCUAAAAAAAUACAAGUGAAGGAAAUUUUAAAAAUUCAGUUAUUAUGAAGCUUUCUUUUUCAUCCCAUUGCAUUUUCUAUGGCUUUAACUGAUGUUUCAGAGCUAGUUCCAUGGAUUCAGACAUGGAUGAAUCUCAGGAAUUUACAAUUUCACUGCUUCACAAGUUUACUCUGGUUUGGCUUAACUUACCACCAAACAACAGGAACUAAAACCUCUAUCUUUACUUACCAUCAAAUUUCAUU